rnacentral:lncRNA from 1 species
UAGACGGCUGUCCCCCGCUGCUGAGCCACGCUGAGCUGGCUGCUCUCACUGGAAUCCUGGAACUGGCUCUUCUCUCACAUGGGCACUCCAAGGGCCACCAGCAUCUCCUCCUACACAGCCUCACAGAGGGACAGAGUUUGACUGCGGGACUCAGCCUGAGGCAGGGGACAGAAUCCCUGAGUGUGCUCCUGGCCAGUGGCUUCAUCUCUCAUCUCUCUGUGACUCUGUUUUCUUUAGCUGUCUAUGGAAAGAAUAAGCAUGAGAAGCAUUCAAUUUGAUUCAAACUGAAGCACUGCACCUGCUUUGUGUGAGACACUUUAGCCACCUCAGGGGUACACACACAAAAGCCCACUGUCCCUGCCCUCAAGGAGCCUAUCAUAUAAUGACAGUCACUAAAAUUUGAAGAUCUCUUUACAGUUCACCUUUACUUCUGAUAUGGUUUGGCUCUGUGUGCCCACUCAAAUCUCAUCUUGAAUUGUAAUCCCCACGUGUUGAGGGAGGGACCUGAUGGGAGGUGAUUGGAUUAUGGGGGCGGUUUCCCACAUGUUCUUGUGACAGUGAAGGAGUUCUCACAAGAUCUGAUGGUUUAAA